UACGAAGGGUGCAAGCGUUACUCGGAAUUACUGGGCGUAAAGCGUGCGUAGGCGGUUUGUUAAGUCUGUCGUGAAAGCCCCGGGCUCAACCUGGGAAUGGCGAUGGAGACUGGCGAGCUAGAGUACGGUAGAGGAGAGUGGAAUUCCCGGUGUAGCAGUGAAAUGCGUAGAGAUCGGGAGGAACAUCAGUUGCGAAGGCGGCUCUCUGGACCAGUACUGACGCUGAGGCACGAAAGCGUGGGGAGCAAACAGG
rnacentral:rRNA from 1 species